rnacentral:rRNA from 1 species
CCUACGGGUGGCAGCAGUGGGGAAUAUUGGACAAUGGGGGGAACCCUGAUCCAGCCAUGCCGCGUGUGUGAAGAAGGCCCUCGGGUUGUAAAGCACUUUCAGUGAGGAAGAACGCCUGGUGGUUAAUACCCAUCAGGAAAGACAUCACUCACAGAAGAAGCACCGGCUAACUCCGUGCCAGCAGCCGCGGUAAUACGGAGGGUGCGAGCGUUAAUCGGAAUUACUGGGCGUAAAGCGCGCGUAGGUGGCUUGAUAAGCCGGUUGUGAAAGCCCCGGGCUCAACCUGGGAACGGCAUCCGGAACUGUCAAGCUAGAGUGCAGGAGAGGAAGGUAGAAUUCCCGGUGUAGCGGUGAAAUGCGUAGAGAUCGGGAGGAAUACCAGUGGCGAAGGCGGCCUUCUGGACUGACACUGACACUGAGGUGCGAAAGCGUGGGUAGCAAACAGGAUUAGAUACUCGUGUAGUC